UGGGGGAGGAAGUGCGUUGGAAGAGGGGCUCAACAGUGAAAGUAUUACUGGGGUUCAGCACAAAUGGUAUCUAGAGCGUUUUUGUGGAAAUUAAAAGGGGAAGAAAUAAAAGUAAACUAUUUGUUUGGUUAGCUCGAAUAAAUGAGAAGUGCAUAGAAAGGUCAUGCCGGCAACUACAAGCAGAAUAUAAUAAUCAAAUAAAGAGGUAAGAAAUUGCAUCGUACUAUAAGUAAAGUUAACUAGAUUACAUGAGAAGUGCAUAGAGAGGUGUUAUUAAGGAAUACAGGCAGAAUAAAAUUAGAGUAAUUAUGAUAGCAAGGUUAACAAUAAAAAUUUUUAAAAUGUCAGAUAAUAAAAAUAUGUGAAAAUAAUCCAUGUUAAAGAUUUGAGGGAUUUUUUAAAAUUGUGAGAAUCGCAUAGAACAGCAAUAGUUGGUCUCUUUGCAGCGAGAAACUUGGCCUACAUUCGCAGACAUACAAUAACAAUGCUUUUCACUUUUCACGGGAAAUGUAUGAUAUGCAUAAAUAAAUAAAUAAAGAGAAAAAAUAAAGCAAAAAACCUGAAGAAGAAAUUAGCUAAAAUAGAUAAGAUAAUCGAUGAGAUUUUCAGUCUAUGCGUUAUUUAUUUAAUUAUGUGAGUCACUCAAAGAUCGAUGACUUGCCCCGUAAAACUGAAAUUGGAAAUCAACAUGGGCUUAGGGCAACAACAACAACAACGGAUGACUGCCCGCCCCUGCGCCCCCACCCGCCGUCAGCCAAGUGUGUGUAGCAAAUCAAAUGUAGCAGUCGAAACAGUAGCCGAACAAGCAGCCAGAGUCAAAGGCAACAAAAUGUCAUGAUUUACAAUAAGAAAUCAUAUAUCUCUCGACGUUUUUUUUUUUUUAUCUGGUUUUGAAGCAACAACAACAGCAACAACAAAGCUGAGCUGACAAUGAGCGCCUAAAGGGUUUCCAGCUGAACUCCCCUCGCCCAGGCCGAGCCGUUACGAUCCGCAAACUUCACGCAACACAAACCGAGAAAUACAAACAGAUGGGACGGACGGACAAUCGAAUGAUAAAAGAGGAAAAAAAACUAUGUUACAAAGGCAGAGAAAAGAAAACAUUAAAAUGGAAGAAAAACAACAACAACAACAACAACAGCAACAGCAAAGCAAAGAAACUGGCUACGAAACUGGGCAACAGCCAAGCCAAGAACAGGGCUCACACUGAGACGGGGAAGGGAAGGGAGCCGAGACAGGGAACGGGAACUGUGACUGGGGCUCGUUGCCGGGGCGGAGAGACGUGCGUUUAUUUUGUGUAAGACAGGUAGCCAGUCGCCAAGCGGCUCGACUCCGGCCAUUGUGUCUGUCUCCGUCCGUUUGUCCGAAAAGUGCGCAGUUAAAAAAAUCGGUCGCCAGAGAAACCCACAGACAGACAGACAGAACAGAGUGAAAAAAAAACGAUCAACAUAAUCGAUGAUGAUGUGGUUGUUGUUGUUGUAGAGCUCCGCUCGAAUCGACUCGACUUGGCUGGGCUCAGCUCUGCCCUGUUGGCCCAGCCGUAAAUGUGUUAAAAAACGCGCAGCGAGAUUAAAUGAGCAUAAAAUACAGCGCAGCAAACGUCGAACCGCGUAUAGCGAAAAACAGUCGAACCUAAACAUAAGCCCAAACCAACAAAAAAAAAAAACAUCAGGGAGAGAAAGAGAGAGGGAGAGGGCGAUAGAGGGAAAGAGAGAGAGGGAGAAAAAGUAUCUUUAAGAUGCCAGACACGAAACACGUCGUCGACUGGCGUUCAUCAGCGACGACCCCUGACAGACAGACUGCCCACAGUCGAGCACAAACUCAGUCGCAGUCGCAGUCGCAGUCGCAGUCGACGUCGCCAUCGCCGUUGCUGUCCCAAGUCCCUGUUCCAGCAGUCCCACUUGAAUAGCCCGGACCUGCCCUCGAGCCUUUCGCCAAUAAAAUAUGCAUGCUGAGCCCGGCUUGAGACCCCGGGGCAAGAUCUGCCUCUGCUGCUGCCGCUUCCUGCGGCUGCUGUAGGACUCGCGGUCUGAGGUGCGAUCAGUGUGUGCAGAAGUUCAUAAAGUGAAAAUGUGUAGCACAUGUAUGUGUAUAGAUAUAUCCUAUGUAUAUGCAUUGGGCGUAAGAGCAGGCCUUAAAGCUGCAGCUGAUGCCCUACGUUUGCAGCAGAGAUCUCAGCUCUCCCAGGGGCUGAUAUCUACAGGCUCAGCUCAGUAUCAUUCCAGAAAAGAAAUUAUAGCAUUUCAGUCUAGAUCUAAGAAGAGGCACUAUUAAGGUUGUAAUGAUACAUCGGGUUUUACGAAAGAAUUAUACAUCUGCACUGUCGUGGGACUGAGCUCCAAAUAUGAUAGUAUAUUAGUAUAUCAUAGUAUAUUCAAAUAUGAGGUAAUUCUCUUGGAACUAUCCAGAGCUUAAUGGGCAGCGCAUCUUUUUUUGUAUUUGCUCCAGAGAAGCAGGAGGGCAGCCAGGGUAGGCAGGGCAGGCGGGGCAUGGUAGGGACUGGAGCAAAACCUGGGCAAAAGCUCAUCAAAAAUGAUGCCCCGCAGGCAAAUGAUGGCAUGGAAAAUAAAACAAGAGCCAAAGCAAGGCAGAGCAAAGCACGGCGAGGCAGAAAUGAAGCCACGGCCACAACUAAAAUUAUACGCAAUCGAGCAGCUUCUGUGCAGCAGCCAAAAAAAGAAGAGGAGCAGAGUCAGAAGUGGGAAACCCACAUUGAGAGGAGGCGGACAGGCGAGCGCAUCCUCCGCAAGAUACAAGUCAAAGCGCUCUGCUCGACUCCUGCUCGAGCAGGCUAACAAAUUAUGCCUGCUGCCUGCCCUGCCCUGCCCUGUCCUGGCCUGGCCUGGCCAUAAAACAUCGAGUCCGUAGCCAGUGCGUAUCACGAUCGGCCCGGUGGGCGUGGCAGAGGCGAGACUGGGGCACACGCAUUUAGUGGGAACAACAGGAGGGCACACAGGAUCGCUGAUACCUCGUCCAGCUAGUUCGCUCGAUCUUGACUGCCUGCAUCAACGCCUCAAACUGGGGGCUGCUGCUGCUGCUCCAAAGCUUUAAUCAUGCGUUCGUGUUGGCCAAGUUUAAGGUUUGGCUUUAACACACACUCAAUGCUGUUGUUGUUGUUGUUAAUUCUUUUGGCCAACUCUCGUUGUUCGUGCCUUUUAUAAUGAUUGCAUUUAUCAUUUAUUCUGCGCGUCAACCAAAUUAUAUGCCUGAGCUUGCCAGCCAGGGAACCACAGCCACAGCCACAGCCACAGCCACAGCCAUGGCCAUGUCAAUAUUAAAGUGCUUCGAUUGAACUGUAUAUACAGGGUUGUCCAUAUUCGAUGAAGCAGGCUGGCAACCCUACAUCUUUUCAUCUCAAGGCGGGUAUUAUAUAGUGAUAUAGAGAUAUGAUAUUCAUAAAGCUGAUAAACUCAUUAAUAAAAUGAUUAUGAUGGUCACCUUCUAAAAUAAAGCCAUAGAUUCGUCGAAUAUGGGCAACCUUGUAGGGUUGCCAAAUGGGUCUGUAGAAUAGGGGCAGUCUUGUAUGUAUAGAUAUGUGUGAUAGAGUCAGCCCUAUAUACAGCUGGGAUCAUACUGACUAUCUAUAACGUACUAUCUAUCUCUGUCUCUAAUUCCCUCUCUCUGCCUCUCUCACUCUCUCUAUAACUUGAGCUUCCUCAGUUGACCCAGAGCUGCUGCUUUCGAGCUGCUGCAGUUGUUAGCCAAGCGCAGCGUUUGCUCCAGACUCUGCCGCUUUGAUCCCAGUUGUCAGUGGUUGAGGUCAAGCGUUAUUAGAGCAUAACACUGGACGCUGCUGGUGCUGGCUGGCCUCAAGUUUCGCUUUCGUUGCAUGGAAGAGUCGCUUGCUGAUAAGAUGUUGGCGUGUAGCAGCCGCCUACCCAUUGACAGGCGCUGCCCAGCUGGAUGCCGCUCUGGCAGAGGCUUUGGCUAUGGCUUUAGCUCUGGCUGUGGCAGCAACUGGAGCGACUCACACCUCGGCCUCAGUUUGUCAGCAAUUACAGUAAUUCCAAUUAAUACGCAGCAGCAGCAGCAGCAGCAGCAGUUGUUGUUGUUGUUGUUGUUGUUGUGCCCUGUUAGGCACUUAUUUCUUUUCUAAUUUGUGGCGCGUGUUGCAUGCCACAAAUCUCAAACUCAACGAGCCACUGUGUGCCACUAACAACACACACUCGCACACACACACAAAUUAGCAUGAAAGCGUAAAGAGUAUCUGCAAGAUACGAGCUGCAACAGCGCACGCCACUGACACGGCAGAAAACGCAAAAUUAUUAUAUCUAGAUGCUUUGCCAGCUGAAAUGAUAAAUCUAAACAAC